GGUUCGAUUCUGGCUCAGAUUGAACGCUGGCUGGAUACUUUACACAGCAUGCGAUCGAACGGCGGCACGGACUUCGGUCCGGUGGCGAGUGGCGAACAGGUGAGUAAUGUAUCGGAACGUGCCUAUUAGCGGGGAUAACUACGCGAAAGCGUAGCCUGUACCUGUCACGUCCUUCGGGGAAAGCGGGGGACCUUCGGGCCUCGCACUAUUAGAGCGGCCGAUAUCGGAUUAGCUAGUUGGUGGGGUAACGGCUCACCAAGGCGACGAUCCGUAGCGGUUUGAGGGACGACCAGCCACACUGGGACUGAGGCCUGACCGGAGCUCCUACGGGGAGGCAGCAGUGGGAAUUUUGGAUUGUCAGAAACCCUGAUCAGCCCAUCCCCGCGUGUGCGAUGAAGGCCUUCGGGUUGUGAAAAGCACUUUUGGCAGGAAAGAAACGGCACGGGAUGUACCCGUGCAACUGACAAUACCACACAGAAUAAGCACCAGCCUAGCUACGUGCCAGCAGCCGCUGUGCGUGUACGUAAAGUGCAGCGUUAAUCCGGAAUUACUGGGCGUAAAGCGUGCGCAGGCGGUUUUCGGGAAGAAGAUGUAGAAAUCUAGAGCUUAACUUUGGAACUGCAUUUUUAACUACCGAGCUAGGGUGUCAGAGGAAGUGGAAUUCCGCAGUGUGCGCAGUGAAAUGCGUAGAUAUGCGGAGGGCACACCGAUGGCGAGAGCAGCUUCCUGGGAUAACACUGACGCUCAUGCACGAAAAGCGUGGGAGCAAGCAGGAUUAGAUACCCUGGUAGUCACGCCUAAACGAUGUCGAAAGCUAGCUGUUGGGGCCUUCGGGCCUUGGUAGCGCAACUAGCGUGAAGAAGUUGACCACCUGGGGAAGUACAGUCGCAAGAUUAAAACUCAAAGAAAAGAUUGAAGGGACCCACACAAGCGGUGGAUGAUGUGGAUUAAUUCGAUGCAACGCGAGAGCCCUUACCUACCCACUUGACAUGUCUGGAAUCCGAAGAGAUUUUGGGGUGGCAUAUGAAGAGAACCAGAACACAGGUGCUGCAUGGCUGCAUCGUCAGCUCGUGUCGUGAGAUGUUGGGUUAAGUCCCGCAACGAGCGCAACCCUUGUCAUUAGUUGCUACGAAAGAGCACUCUAAUGAGACUGCCGGUGACAAACCGGAGGAAGGUGGGGAUGACGUCAGAUCCUCGCAGCUACUUAUGGGUAGGGCUUCGUCAUACAAUGGUCGGAGGACAGAAGAUUCGCCAACCCGCGGGGGUAAUCCCAGAAACCCGAUCGUAAGUCCCGGAUCUGCAGUCUGCAACUCGACUGCGUGAAGUCAGAAUCAUAGUAAUCGCGGAUCAGCAUGUCGCGGUGAAUACGUUCCCGGGUCUUGUACCACACACCUUCAAUCACACCAUGGGAGUGGGUUUUCCAAGUAGUUAAGCCUAACCGUAAGAGGGCGGUGCAGUAGGAUUCAUGACUGGGGUGAAGUCAUGAACAUUCAG
rnacentral:rRNA from 1 species